AUGUCAUUGCAGAAACAUGCAAGGCGGCACACACAGCGAGGGUUUGAUGAGCCAAGCAGAUAUGGGGCACCGCCUGGUUGGGUAACACCAGAAAUAGCACCAGGAUAUUUCAACAAUAUAGGCAGAUUUCAAGCUACACCAGAAUCAUCAGAAGCACAGACAGGUUCUUCUAUGCAGCAAACACCAAUAUCUGGGAAUACAAGCUUUGCCACUGCUGGGUUGCAACAAGGUCAACAAUUUCCCAACGAGACAUGUUUUCCUUCCCUAGCGCAUGUAGAAAGGCAAGGACACACAGGCUUCCACCAAUCGCUCCGUCAACAUCAAUCAUCCGUGCUGCAAAAGCGGUUGCAACGGGAAGACCAAGCCAAAGAGACAAAAAAUUGGCCACUCUAG
rnacentral:rRNA from 1 species